GACGAACGCUGGCGGCGUGCUUAACACAUGCAAGUCGAACGAUGAAGUUCCAUCGGGAAUGGAUUAGUGGCGAACGGGUGAGAAACACGUGAGAAACCUGCCUUUCAUUUUGGGAUAACUCCGGGAAACCGGAGCUAACACCGAAUACUCCGUCUCGGCGGCAUCGCUGAGCCGGGAAAAAAUUUUGAUGAAAGAUGGUCUCGCGGCCUAUCAGCUAGUUGGUGAGGUAAUGGCUCACCAAGGCGACGACGGGUAGCCGGCCUGAGAGGGCGGCCGGCCACACUGGGACUGAGACACGGCCCAGACUCCUACGGGAGGCAGCAGUGGGGAAUAUUGGGCAAUGGGCGCAAGCCUGACCCAGCGACGCCGCGUGAGGGAUGAAGGCCUUCGGGUUGUAACCUCUUUCAGUAGGGAAGAAGCGAAAGUGACGGUACCUAAAGAAGAAGCACCGGCUAACUAUGUGCCAGCCGCCGCCGUAA
rnacentral:rRNA from 1 species